CUGGAUGUGUGGAAGGCCGCUCUUCGCCUGUUACAGAGUACUUGCGCGGAGGGAGGAAAGUCCGAGCACCACUGGAUUACGGUGGUGGGUAACGCCCACCGCUUGGCGCUGAUUUCAGUGCUGGGUAGGGAAAGUGCCACAGAAAAUAUACCGCCCCGCACUAAUUUACCGCUUGCCGUAUAACGCGGCUGUUUCAGGCUGCGAUAUGCGCGGUAAAUUAGUGCGGGGUAAGGGUGAAAUGGUGCGGUAAGAGCGCACCGCGCGGGCUGUGAGGUCCGUGGCAGGGUAAACCCCACCGGGUGCAAGGCCAAGCAGUAACG
rnacentral:RNase_P_RNA from 1 species